GGACAGCAGCUGCCUUGCAUCAGCACUGAUGUGCCCAGUCCCAGCUGGGACACCAGUUGUGAGAGCAGAAGAGCUUUAUAUAUCCCACUUAUUAAGAAUAGUUCUAGAGAUCACUGCUCAUAAAUUUACCUGAUUUCCCCUUGAUUAUAUUUCAUUUACCUCUAAGUGCUGAUCCAAAAUAUUGUCAGUAGAGAAGCAGCAGGAUAAACUAGUGCAAACGAUUGGUUUUUGCCUUGUUGUGCUCUGUCAAGUCAGGUUACCCUCAUUUUUAGCACUGUUUCUGCUGUUGUCCCCUGGGAUUCUAGACAGCAUGGUCAUUUAACCCAAGAUUAUUUUUGACCUUGAUUGGUAUUUGUUUGGGCAUUUUUUUCUGUCUUUUUGGAUAUAAGCUGGCCAAAGUAUUGUCUUACUAUUGAUGAAUUUAAUCUAUACGGAGCUAAGUGCAAAGGAAAAUAGAUACUAGCUGCGCACACAUCUCCAAUGGAAAAUAAGCAUCGCAUGUUUGAAGGCUUAAUUCUCUGCUGAUCAAAGUUGGUGGGAGUGUUGCUGCUGUCACCAAGAGAAAGAACUGAUGCCCCUCAAAACGAUGGAUUUUUAAUGCUGAGCUGCUCGGAGCAAGGAGUGCUGCCACUGCAAGAAUUUGGUCACUCUUGAACACGUUCAUCCGGAGUCGUUCUAAUUCUCCAUGUCUUUCCCAACGCGUGAUGCAAUGUGGACACAAUCCAUCAGAUGAAUUAGUGGUAUUUUUUGAAAACCAUUGGGGUUUCUUUCUCUCUGCACACAUGUAAUCUGCCUGGUUCAUUGCAGCUGAGCAAGAGAUCUGAGCUGUGGCUUAGGUCCAACUACUUGCAGGGAGCUCU